GAUGAACGCUGGCGGCGUGCCUAAUACAUGCAAGUCGAGCGAACAGACGAGGAGCUUGCUCCUCUGACGUUAGCGGCGGACGUGUGUGUAACACGUGGAUAACCUCCCUAUAAGACUGGGAUAACUUCGGGACACCGGAGCUAAUACCGGAUAAUAUAUUGAUCCGCAUGGUGCAAUAGUGAAUGACGGUUUUGCUGUCACUUAUAGAUGGAUCCGCGCCGUAUUAGCUAGUUGGUAAGGUAACGGGUUACCAAGGCAACGAUGCGUAGCCGAACUGAGAGGCGGAUAGGCCACCUUGGAACUUGAACACGCUCCAUACUCCUACGGGAGGCAGCAGUAGGGAAUCGUCCGCAAUGGGCGGAAGCCUGACGGAGUAACGCCGCGUGAGUGAUGAAGGUCUUCGGAUCGUAAAACUCGGUUAUUAGGGAAGAACAAAUGUGUAAGGAAAUAUACACGUCUUGACGGUACCUAAUCAGAAAGCCACGGCUAACUACGUG
rnacentral:rRNA from 1 species